ensembl:lncRNA
GGCUGGGGAAGUAGUAAAACAGUGGCAAAGAACACAUGGAAUGAGAGAAAUGGAAAAGGAAGGACAAACUGUACUAUCCCUUCACUGCAAGCAGAGGACUGCGAUUGCAGACCUGGGCAAAUGUGGGUGCAUAACGCUAGGAGGAUACAGGCCUGCAGACAACACCAGAGAGGCAUGCUCCCAUCCCAGCAGGGCAUGAUCAUCUUACCAUGGCUAGGAGGAAGAAAUGGGAAUGCAAAAAAACUUGUUUGUUUUAAAAUCUCCAAGGCUUUUUGCUAGAACCAAGUGUCAACAACAGUGUGCUAUCUGGUCCAAGAGCCUGCCUGAGGCCAUCAUCACCUGGCAGCUUUUUGCUUCCCUGUUUUAAUAUAGAUAAGUUAAAGACUGAUGCCUGAC